AGUGUGCCUUUUGAUGACAAAGUCAUAGUAGACAGAAUCAGUGGUGUUUUCAUUAUUAAACAAGAAGAGUAGGCCUUCUCUCAUAUAUAAUUUUUGCAUUUUUAAUACACAUAUAUAUUAGGUUGUAGUGGAUAUAAUAUUGUACUAAUAUAGGCAUAUAUAAUAUUACAAUUAUUUUAAGUUGUUUCCCAGCUUGUGCGUAAUUGAUCAUAAUUUGAGGAUGUGCAUUCUAAAAGGACUUGUCCUAUUUUUAUCAUGUGUCUUAUAUUUUGUUAAGCUUGUCAGUAGGGGGCGAUCUUAAAUGGUCAGUCCUGAAACCAUGACUUUGCAAAGUAUACUUAUUAUUCAAAAACUGGAUAUUUGUAGAAACAGCAUUUUGAUAAACACUUCGAGCGCACGGAUAGGUGUUUUAAACCGUACAGACAUACUUUUCAAAAUAGAAAAGCAGCAAUUUCGUGGAAUGACCUAUAAGCUUUAACAACAACAACAAACAGUUGUACCUGGCAACUUGCUGUCACAGCAAAAUAAGGUGUGGAGUGUUUUUUUCUGGUAAACGGUCUGUGGUGAAGUAGUCUGUGAAUUUUCACUUUUGAAGCAGAAAAAAAAAAUACUGAUUUAACUUUAACAAUGGACAAAACACAAGGAAGCAAAUCAAGACCCUUUCCAGUAACAACGUUGUUCAAACAGGAGCGUAAGGAAUCUGAAAGAGUGCAGGUGACGUACAGAAUUCCAGCUCUUCUCUAUAUCAGUGAGAACCAAACAUUCCUGGCCUUUGCUGAAAAGCGGAAAACCGCUGAUGACACUGAUGCAGAUGUCCUUGUGAUGAGAAAAGGAAUAUGGAAGGAUGACGGAGUUGAGUGGGAUAGUCAAGAGUUGCUCUCUUCGGCUUGUCAAGCAAACCGUCGCUGUAUGAAUCCAUGUCCGGUCUUUGAGAGAGAAUCCAAGACCCUAUUUCUGUUUUUCAUUACUGUUCCUGUUGGGGUCUCUGAACACAAACAAAUACACAAGAAUAAGAAUCAGGCACGACUUUGUUACAUAACUAGUAAGGACACUGGCAAAACCUGGAGUGCUGUUACAGACCUGACAGCAGAUGUAAUCGGUGAGCAGGAGAAGGACUGGGCCACCUUUGCUGUUGGACCAGGACAUGGUGUUCAACUGAAGAGCGGAAGACUUAUUAUCCCAGCAUAUGUGUAUCCUUGCCGCUCACACAACUGUAAAGCCACAUCGUGUGCAUUCGCAUUGUACAGUGAUGAUAAAGGAAGUACUUGGCGUUUAGGAAAACGUAUGGAUGGUGAGUCUAAUGAGUGUCAGAUGGCUGAGAUCAUUGAUGACAAAGGUACCAGUAAGCUUUACUGUAAUGCUCGAAGUAUAUCAGGCCACAGAGUCGAGGCUCUAAGUGAGUGUAAUGGAGAAUCAUUUGACAAGCCUUCAUCUGCAUGUAAGCUGACAGAAACCGGACGUGGCUGCCAAGGAAGUGUGUUGAGUUUUGCCCCUAAUCAAGCAACUGAAAAAACAUGGCUACUGUAUUGCCAUCCAACAAAUCCAAGCAAGAGAGCAUGCCUUGGCGUCUACCUGAAUAAAUCCCCGUGGGAUGCUUCUAGAUGGGAGGAUCGUAAAUUGAUCAUCUACGAUGGUCCAAGUGGAUACUCGGAUCUGGCCCACUGUGGAGAUGGAAAACACUUCGCCUGUCUCAUGGAAUGUGGAGAGAUUAGUGAGGUCGAAGGGAUAGCCUUUGUCCUUUUUAAACUCAGUGAUGUCAUUUAGGCCAAGGGUGUUGAAUGAGACAGCAAAAGUCAGCAUUUUCUUUUAGUAAUGCUUUAGUAAUAAUGGCCAAGUACUCACAUAAUUGUCAUUAAUUAUCAUUAACUAUCAUUAAUUACUCACCUUUAUGUCAUUUCAAACCUAUGAGACCUAUGAGUUCAUCUUCAGAACACAAAUUAAGAUUUUUUUUAUAAAAUUUGAGAGCUUUCUGACCCUGCAUAUACAAGCAACGCGACUGACACGUUCAAGGUCUAGAGAGGUAGUAAGAACAUCAUUAAAAUAGUCCAUAUGAUGUCAGUGGAUCAACCAUAAUUUUAUGAAGCUACAAGAAUAAUUUUUGUGUGCAAAGAAAACUAAAAUAAUGACGUUAUUCAACCAUCUUUAUUCAACGCUGGCUCCUGCAUUAGCAGAACCACACAUGCGUCGCACAAAAUUAUUCUUGUAGCUUGCUAAAAAUAAAGGUUGAACCACAGAUGUCAGAUGGACUAUUUUAACAAUGUCCUUACUACCUUUCUGAGUCUUAAAUGUGUCAGUUGUGUUGCUGUCUAUGCAGGGUUAGAAAGCUCUUGAAUUUCAUCAAAAUAUCUGCAUUUGUGUUCCAAAGAUGAACAAAGGUCUUAGGGGUUCGGAAUGUUAUUAAUGACAGAAUGUCAAUUUUUGUAUGAACUAUCGCUUUAAAUCAUUAAAAUAUGAAGAUUAUAAACACUGCCGUUCAGAGAUUCUGCCUUUUUUUUUUUUUUUAAAUCAAUGCUUUUAUUGUGAUAUGUGAUAUAUAUAUAAAUAUGAGACUAAAUACAUACAGGGAUAUUUUUUGCACCAAUAUCUUGAAUAUUAGGGCAUAGGGCAUAACUGCAUUUGUGUUGUGCUGUUUUGUGCUGUUAAUUCUGUUACAUGUAUGCUUUGUUUCUGUCUUUGUUUUUCCUGACCUAGUUUUCCUUAGUAUUGCUGACCUAGUUGUCUGAUUAGUUAUCAAGUUCACCUGUUUUACUUCUGCGUAUUCAUCCGUAUCACACCUUUUCACUUCUUUUCAGUGUUAUUUCAGUGCUCAGUGAAGAUAAGAGUGUGUUUUUAAACAUUUGUGGAGGGCUGUGCAAUAUUAGGGGUGGAAACCAUAAUUACUUUUUGACAUGAGAGAUAAAGUUAUCCCUGUGUUUAUAAUUCAUGCACGUCAAUCAGUUCAUAAAUCAUUUAAUAGUCAUUCUUUAAUUGUCCCAAAUACCACAAUGUCACCACCACUUGCUCACCACUUGCUCACAGUCUUCAACACCUUUUGCACUUAAUGAUAAAAUAAUAGUGAAAGCAUCUGUCAGUCCUUUCCUCACCCAGUCCGGUAAACAUCAUGGAUCUGUCUGUAUCAACUCCAAGUAACUUGGAAAAACCCCUGGACUUUUCCAGACAAUAGCCAUGUGGUGUGCCAGAUAAAACAAGCUAAUGGAAUGUAAUAAAUAACAUUCAGAUAAACUCAAUAAAACAAAAAAACAAGCAAAGCGUUUUUUUUUGUUUUGUUUUGUUUUUGUUUGUUUUUUUUAUCCAACACAGCCCUUCAAGAUUGUGUCAAACAGAAAAUCUAAUGCAAAUUAUCUCUUUUAAAAUGCUUGUAUUUGUAUAAUUUACAUAAUAUUCUAUAUUAAAAAAAGGUAUAAACAACAGGUCAUUAAAAUAUUACGGCUGUCAGUUGAUUAAAGUUUUUAAUCUAAUUAAUUACAUGAUGUUUUGAUUAAUUAAUCUAAUUAAUCACAAAAUAAAUUUGACUGUUAAAACACCCACAAAGGUUAUUUAAAGCUAUUUUUGUGGUAAAUGAGAAAGUAUGAAGUAGACAUUAUAAAUUGUAGCUUUAGAAAGAAAUAUUUUGUUAGAUUCAACAUAAAAUUUAUUACACAUAAACUAAUGUAAACUAUGAAACAUAAAAGAAGAUUAUUUGAGAAACAUCUGUAUUUUUUUGUCAUUUGUAACCAAAGUCAUUUGUAACCAAAGCAGCUUUGUUACCAACAGUCUUCAAAAUACCUUCUUUAAUGUUCCACAAAAGAAAGGUUUGAAAUGACAUGAGGGUGAGUAAAUGAUGACAGAAUUUAUUUAUUUUUUUGGACUAUCCCUAAUUUUGUUAUUUUUAUUAUUCUUAUUUUAUUUAUUAUUAUUAUUAUUUUUUUUUUUUUUUUUGUUUUACAUAAAAUGAUACUUUAAAUAAGAAACUAAAUCUGGCAGCAGGGUGCAGUAAAUGUCUUUGAGUCAUUCACUCAUUCGAUUCAUUCACGAAAUGAAAUAAAUGGCUCUCUUAAUAAAUGGGCUUUUGAAUCAUUGGUUCACACGAUUCGUUCAAAACGUGGAUUCAUUAAGAAACUAAACACCGCUGUGUUUCUCAGAGAUGCGCAGCAAUUCUGGUAUGGUUUUAGAGGUCAUAUGUUCUCAGUAAAACUGAGCAAAAACACAUAUAUAGUGUUUAAAAUAUAACACAAUCUCAAUAUCUUGAAUAUUAGGGCAUAACAGCAUUUGUGGAGUUGUUGCCCUGCAUCACAUUUUUCAUCAGUCAACUAUAUAAAAUAUAAGAUGACAUACACUGUAAAAAACAAUUUGAUGAGUCAACUUAAAAUAAUUUGUAACCUGGCUGCCUUAACAAUUUAAGUUCAGUUAACUCAAAAAAAAGUUAACAAAUUAUACAAAUACAACAUAUAAAUAUAAAAAUACACUUUGAAAAUAGUUUUGUGCUGUUAUUUCUGUUACAUGUAUGCUUUGUUUCUGUAUUUGUUUUUCCUGACCUAGUUUUCGUUAGUAUUGCUGACCUAGUUGUCUGAUUAGUUAUCAAGUUCACCUGGUGUCACGCUAUUUAACUCUUUAGUUCCCAUUGUUUGCCUUAUAAAAAACCCUGUAAAACUCAUCAUAUGCUUUAGUUCUUUUAAUUUGUUACAAACUUAUUUUAAGUAUUCCUUUAGUUGCUUGUCGAGCCCUCUUUUAUGGACAGCAUGCUAAAUCUGUUUUAUCAAGAUCAUAUGAACAUGCAAACUUGUGAAAUAAAAAGUAAAGGCAACUAUGGCGUGUCUCUGGUUGGUAUCUGUCAUUGUUGGGCAUCCAAUGGACACUCACAAUUGACACAGUGUGGGGUUUUUGGUUCUUUGCAGAAGUAAAACAUGCAAGCUGUAGAUUCAAUUCAAAUAGGUUUCAAUAUUUAUUCAAAAAAUAACUAUAGGGAAUCAAUAUUGUGUUACACAUUCUGUUGCUUCUGCGUAUUCAUCUGUAUCACACCUUUUCACUUCUUUUCAGUGUUAUUUCAGUGCUCAGUGAAGAUAAGAGUGUGUUUUUAAACAUUUGUGGAGGGCUGUGCAAUAUUAGGGGUGGAAACCAUAAUUACUUUUUGACA